rnacentral:pre_miRNA from 1 species
AGUGGGAUAGCUGGUCAAAUGGUAGCUUCAUUCCAAGUUUUCUAAGGUAUCUCCAUACUGCUUUCCAAAGUGGUUGUAUCAUUUUGCAAUCCCACCAGCAAU